rnacentral:rRNA from 1 species
UGGGCGUUAAGUUGCAGGGUAUAGACCCGAAACCCGGUGAUCUAGCCAUGGGCAGGUUGAAGGUUGGGUAACACUAACUGGAGGACCGAACCGACUAAUGUUGAAAAAUUAGCGGAUGACCUGUGGCUGGGGGUGAAAGGCCAAUCAAACCGGGAGAUAGCUGGUUCUCCCCGAAAGCUAUUUAGGUAGCGCCUCGUGAACUCAUCUCCGGGGGUAGAGCACUGUUUCGGCUAGGGGGCCAUCCCGGCUUACCAACCCGAUGCAAACUGCGAAUACCGGAGAAUGUUAUCACGGGAGACACACGGCGGGUGCUAACGUCCGUCGUGAAGAGGGAAACAACCCAGACCGCCAGCUAAGGUCCCAAAGUCAUGGUUAAGUGGGAAACGAUGUGGGAAGGCCCAGACAGCCAGGAUGUUGGCUUAGAAGCAGCCAUCAUUUAAAGAAAGCGUAAUAGCUCACUGGUCGAGUCGGCCUGCGCGGAAGAUGUAACGGGGCUAAACCAUGCACCGAAGCUGCGGCAGCGACACUUUAGUGUUGUUGGGUAGGGGAGCGUUCUGUAAGCCGUUGAAGGUGGCCUGUGAGGGUUGCUGGAGGUAUCAGAAGUGCGAAUGCUGACAUAAGUAACGAUAAAGCGGGUGAAAAGCCCGCUCGCCGGAAGACCAAGGGUUCCUGUCCAACGUUAAUCGGGGCAGGGUGAGUCGACCCCUAAGGCGAGGCCGAAAGGCGUAGUCGAUGGGAAACGGGUUAAUAUUCCCGUACUUGGUGUUACUGCGAAGGGGGGACGGAGAAGGCUAUGUUGGCCGGGCGACGGUAGUCCCGGUUUAAGCGUGUAGGUGUAUGUUCCAGGCAAAUCCGGUUCAUUUUAACACUGAGGCGUGAUGACGAGGCACCACGGUGCUGAAGCAACAAAUGCCCUGCUUCCAGGAAAAGCCUCUAAGCAUCAGGUAACAUCAAAUCGUACCCCAAACCGACACAGGUGGUCAGGUAGAGAAUACCAAGGCGCUUGAGAGAACUCGGGUGAAGGAACUAGGCAAAAUGGUGCCGUAACUUCGGGAGAAGGCACGCUGACACGUAGGUGAAGUGAUUUACUCAUGGAGCUGAAGUCAGUCGAAGAUACCAGCUGGCUGCAACUGUUUAUUAAAAACACAGCACUGUGCAAACACGAAAGUGGACGUAUACGGUGUGACGCCUGCCCGGUGCCGGAAGGUUAAUUGAUGGGGUCAGCGCAAGCGAAGCUCCUGAUCGAAGCCCCGGUAAACGGCGGCCGUAACUAUAACGGUCCUAAGGUAGCGAAAUUCCUUGUCGGGUAAGUUCCGACCUGCACGAAUGGCGUAAUGAUGGCCAGGCUGUCUCCACCCGAGACUCAGUGAAAUUGAACUCGCUGUGAAGAUGCAGUGUACCCGCGGCAAGACGGAAAGACCCCGUGAACCUUUACUAUAGCUUGACACUGAACAUUGAGCCUUGAUGUGUAGGAUAGGUGGGAGGCUUUGAAGCGUGGACGCCAGUCUGCGUGGAGCCGACCUUGAAAUACCACCCUUUAAUGUUUGAUGUUCUAACGUGGACCCGUGAUCCGGGUUGCGGACAGUGUCUGGUGGGUAGUUUGACUGGGGCGGUCUCCUCCUAAAGAGUAACGGAGGAGCACGAAGGUUGGCUAAUCCUGGUCGGACAUCAGGAGGUUAGUGCAAUGGCAUAAGCCAGCUUGACUGCGAGCGUGACGGCGCGAGCAGGUGCGAAAGCAGGUCAUAGUGAUCCGGUGGUUCUGAAUGGAAGGGCCAUCGCUCAACGGAUAAAAGGUACUCCGGGGAUAACAGGCUGAUACCGCCCAAGAGUUCAUAUCGACGGCGGUGUUUGGCACCUCGAUGUCGGCUCAUCACAUCCUGGGGCUGAAGUAGGUCCCAAGGGUAUGGCUGUUCGCCAUUUAAAGUGGUACGCGAGCUGGGUUUAGAACGUCGUGAGACAGUUCGGUCCCUAUCUGCCGUGGGCGCUGGAAGAUUGAGGGGGGCUGCUCCUAGUACGAGAGGACCGGAGUGGACGCAUCACUGGUGUUCGGGUUGUCAUGCCAAUGGCACUGCCCGGUAGCUAAAUGCGGAAAAGAUAAGUGCUGAAAGCAUCUAAGCACGAAACUUGCCCCGAGAUGAGUCUUCCCUGAGACUUUGAGUCUCCUGAAGGAACGUUAAAGACGAUGACGUUGAUAGGCCGGGUGUGUAAGCGCAGCGAUGCGUUGAGCUAACCGGUACUAAUGAACCGUGAGGCUUAACCUUACAACGCCGAAG